rnacentral:lncRNA from 1 species
CAAUUUCGCGCCAAACUUGACCGCGCGUUCUGCUGUAACGAGCGGGCUCGGAGGUCCUCCCGCUGCUGUCAUGGUUGGUUCGCUAAACUGCAUCGUCGCUGUGUCCCAGAACAUGGGCAUCGGCAAGAACGGGGACCUGCCCUGGCCACCGCUCAGGAAUGAAUUCAGAUAUUUCCAGAGAAUGACCACAACCUCUUCAGUAGAAGGUAAACAGAAUCUGGUGAUUAUGGGUAAGAAGACCUGGUUCUCCAUUCCUGAGAAGAAUCGACCUUUAAAGGGUAGAAUUAAUUUAGUUCUCAGCAGAGAACUCAAGGAACCUCCACAAGGAGCUCAUUUUCUUUCCAGAAGUCUAGAUGAUGCCUUAAAACUUACUGAACAACCAGAAUUAGCAAAUAAAGUAGACAUGGUCUGGAUAGUUGGUGGCAGUUCUGUUUAUAAGGAAGCCAUGAAUCACCCAGGCCAUCUUAAACUAUUUGUGACAAGGAUCAUGCAAGACUUUGAAAGUGACACGUUUUUUCCAGAAAUUGAUUUGGAGAAAUAUAAACUUCUGCCAGAAUACCCAGGUGUUCUCUCUGAUGUCCAGGAGGAGAAAGGCAUUAAGUACAAAUUUGAAGUAUAUGAGAAGAAUGAUUAAUAUGAAGGUGUUUUCUAGUUUAAGUUGUUCCCCCUCCCUCUGAAAAAAGUAUGUAUUUUUACAUUAGAAAAGGUUUUUUGUUGACUUUAGAUCUAUAAUUAUUUCUAAGCAACUAGUUUUUAUUCCCCACUACUCUUGUCUCUAUCAGAUACCAUUUAUGAGACAUUCUUGCUAUAACUAAGUGCUUCUCCAAGACCCCAACUGAGUCCCCAGCACCUGCUAUAGUGAGCUGCCAUUCCACACCCAUCACAUGUGGCACUCUUGCCAGUCCUUGACAUUGUCGGGCUUUUCACAUGUUGGUAAUAUUUAUUAAAGAUGAAGAUCCACAUACCCUUCAACUGAGCAGUUUCACUAGUGGAAAUACCAAAAGAUUCCUACGUGUAUAUCCAGAGGUUUGUAGAUAAAUGUUGCCACCUUGUUUGUAACAGUGGAAAAUUGAAAACAACCUGGAAGUCCAGUGAUGGGAAAAUGAGUAUGUUUCUGUCUUAGAUUGGGGAACCCAAAGCAGAUUGCAAGACUGAAAUUUCAGUGAAAGCAGUGUAUUUGCUAGGUCAUACCAGAAAUCAUCAAUUGAGGUACGGAGAAACUGAACUGAGAAGGUAAGAAAAGCAAUUUAAAGUCAGCGAGCAGGUUCUCAUUGAUAACAAGCUCCAUACUGCUGAGAUACAGGGAAAUGGAGGGGGGAAAGCUGGAGUAUUGAUCCCGCCCCCCUCCUUGGUUGUCAGCUCCCUGUCCUGUGUGUGGGCGGAACAUAGUCCAGCUGCUCUAUAGCAAGUCUCAGGUGUUUGCAGUAAGAAGCUGCUGGCAUGCACGGGAACAGUGAAUGCCAAACACUUAAAGCAAUUCGAUGUUUAAGUAUGUAAGUUCUUUUUUUUUUAGACAGCGUUUCGCUCUUGUUGCCCAGGCUAGCAUGCAAUGGUGUGACCUCGGCUUACUGCAACCUCCGCCUUCCCAGAUUCAAGCGAUUCUCCUGCCUCAGGCUCCCAAGUAGCUGGGACCGGGUGCGCGCCACCACGCCCGGCUAAUUUUUGUAUUUUGUAUUUUUGGUAGAGAUGGGGUUUCGCCAUGUUGGUCAGGCUAGUCUCGAACUCGUGACCGCAAGCGAUUCACCCACCUCAGCCUCCCAAAGUGCUGGGAUUACCGGCUUGAGCCACCACACCCGGCACAUCUUCAUUCUUUUUAUGUAGUAAAAAGUAUAAGGCCACACAUGGUUUAUUUGAAGUAUUUUACAAUUUAAAAAAAUACAGAAGCAGGAAAACCAAUUAUAAGUUCAAGUGAGGGAUGAUGGUUGCUUGAACCAAAGGGUUGCAUGUAGUAAGAAAUUGUGAUUUAAGAUAUAUUUUAAAGUUAUAAGUAGCAGGAUAUUCUGAUGGAGUUUGACUUUGGUUUUGGGCCCACGGAGUUUCAGAUGCCUUUGAGAAAUGAAUGAAGUAGAGAGAAAAUAAAAGAAAAACUAGCCAGGCACAGUGGCUCACGCCUGUAAUCCCAGCGCUUUGGGAGGCUAAGGCAGGCAGAUCACUUGAGACCAGCUUGGGCAACAUGGCGAAGCCCCAUCUCUACAAAAAACACAGAAAUUAGCUGGGCAUUGUGGCGCACACCUGUAUUCCCAUCUACUCAGGAAGCUGAGAUGGAAGAAUUAAUUGAGCCCACGAGUUCAAGGCUGCAGUGAGUCGUGAUUGUGCCACUGCACUCCAGCCGGGGUGACAGAAGAGACCUUGUCUCGAAAAGGAAUCUGAAAACAAUGGAACCAUGCCUUCAUAAUUCUAGAAAGUUAUUUUCAACUGAUAAAUCUAUAUUCACCCAAAUAAUCAAGGGUGAAGGUAAAAUAAUACAUUUUUAGACAAGCAAAGACUCAGGGGUUACCUCCAUGUGCCCUUUUUAGGGAAGCUGUUGGAGAAAAUACUCCAGCAAAAUGAAGGAGUACACAAACCAGAGAAUGACAUGAAUCCAGCAAAUAGGAUCCAACACAGGCAAUAUUCCAGCUAUGGAGCUAGCUUUAAAAAGGAACAGUAAAAAUAUUAAUCGGUUAGCUGGGUGGAAUGGCCCAUGCCUGUAGUCCCAGCUACUCGGGAGGCUCAGCAGCAGGACGACUUGAGCCCAAGAGUUCCAGACCAGCCUGGCCACCUUAGUGAGAUCCCUUCUCUUAAAAAUAAUAACUUAUUGCCAGAUUUGGGGCAUUUGGAAAGAAGUUCAUUGAAGAUAAAGCAAAAGUAAAAAAAAAAAAAAAAAAAAAACAAGGGGAAAGGGUUGGUUAGGCAAUCAUUCUAGGGCAGAAAGAAGUACAGGAUAGGAAGAGCAUAAUACACUGUUUUUCUCAACAAGGAGCAGUAUGUACACAGUCAUAAUGAUGUGACUGCUUAGCCCCUAAAUAUGGUAACUACUCUGGGACAAUAUGGGAGGAAAAGUGAAGAUUGUGAUGGUGUAAGAGCUAAAUCCUCAUCUGUCAUAUCCAGAAAUCACUAUAUAAUACAUAAUAAUGAAAUGACUAAGUUAUGUGAGGAAAAAAACAGAAGACAUUGCUAAAAGAGUUAAAAGUCAUUGCUCUGGAGAAUUAGGAGGGAUGGGGCAGGGGACUGUUAGGAUGCAUUAUAAACUGAAAAGCCUUUUUAAAAUUUUAUGUAUUAAUAUAUGCAUUCACUUGAAAAACUAAAAAAAAACAAUAAUUUGGAAAAACCCAUGAAGGUAACUAACGGAAGGAAAAACUAAGAGAAUGAAAAGUAUUUGCCUCUGGAAAGAACAACUGGCAGGACUGUUGUUUUCAUUGUAAGACUUUUGGAGCCAUUUAAUUGUACUUAACCAUUUUCAUCUAUUUCUUUAAUAAGAACAAUUCCAUCUUAAUAAAGAGUUACACUUGUUAAUAAAAAAAAAAAA